GACGAACGCUGGCGGCGUGCUUAACACAUGCAAGUCGAACGGAAAGGCCCUGCUUGCCGGGUACUCGAGUGGCGAACGGGUGAGUAACACGUGGGUGAUCUGCCCUGCACUUCGGGAUAAGCUUGGGAAACUGGGUCUAAUACCGGAUAGGAGCCAUCUUUAGUGUGGUGGUUGGAAAGUUUUUUCGGUGUAGGAUGAGCUCGCGGCCUAUCAGCUUGUUGGUGGGGUAAUGGCCUACCAAGGCGGCGACGGGUAGCCGGCCUGAGAGGGUGUACGGCCACAUCAGGACUGAGAUACGGCCCAGACUCCUACGGGAGGCAGCAGUGGGGAAUAUUGCACAAUGGGCGCAAGCCUGAUGCAGCGACGCCGCGUGGGGGAUAAAGGCCUUCGGGUUGUAAACACCUAUCGCUAGGGAAGAAGCUUUGUUGUGACGGUACCUAGAUAAGAAGCACCGGCUAACUACGUG
rnacentral:rRNA from 1 species